GUUAUAACGAUGAAAAAGGACUAGUACAUAUCCAACCUUUUUUGCAGAGAGAGAAUUCGAUUGGCUGAAAGAUUCUUAAAAAGGCGAUAUAGAACCUACCUUUGCGUUCUGCAUAUGCAGCGGGAAGUUCCCGUUAUCAAAAAGAGAGCAUGCACAAUUUUUGUGCAUGAAUCAGGGUGGUAACGCCGGCAAAAGCUCGGUCCCUAUU
rnacentral:ncRNA from 1 species